GUCAUCAUGGCCCUUACGAGUAGGGCUACACACGUGCUACAAUGGCGCAUACAGAGGGCUGCCAACCAGCGAUGGUGAGCGAAUCCCAAAAAGUGCGUCGUAGUCCGGAUUGGAGUCUGCAACUCGACUCCAUGAAGUCGGAAUCGCUAGUAAUCGUGAAUCAGAAUGUCACGGUGAAUACGUUCCCGGGCCUUGUACACACCGCCCGUCACACCAUGGGAGUGGGCUGCAAAAGAAGUGGGUAGUUUAACCUUUCGAGGAGGACGCUCACCACUUUGUGGUUCAUGACUGGGGUGAAGUCGUAACAAGGUAGCGCUAGGGGAACCUGGCGCUGGAUCACCUCCUUAUACGAUGAU
rnacentral:rRNA from 1 species